rnacentral:rRNA from 1 species
CCUAGUAACUGCGAGUGAAGCGGGAAAAGCUCAAAUUUAAAAUCUGGCGGUCUUUCAGGUCGUCCGAAUUGUAAUCUAGAGAAGUAUUAUCCGCGCUGGCCUGUGUACAAGUCUCCUGGAACGGAGCCUCAUAGAGGGUGAGAAUCCCGUCUUUGACACGGAUCACCAGGGCUUUUGUGAUAUGCUCUCAAAGAGUCGAGUUGUUUGGGAAUGCAGCUCAAAACGGGUGGUAAAUUCCAUCUAAAGCUAAAUAUUGGCGAGAGACCGAUAGCGAACAAGUACCGUGAGGGAAAGAUGAAAAGAACUUUGGAAAGAGAGUUAAACAGUACGUGAAAUUGUUGAAAGGGAAACGCUUGAAGUCAGUCGCGUUGACCAGGAAUCAACCUUGCUUUUGCUCGGUGUACUUUCUGGYYGACGGGUCAGCAUCAAUUUUGACCGGUGGAUAAAGGUCAGAGGAAUGUGGCAUCUUAGGAUGUGUUAUAGUUUCUGGUCGCAUACAUCGGUUGGGAUUGAGGAACUCAGCACGCCGCAAGGCCGGGUUUUUAAUCACGUUCGUGCUUAGGAUGCUGGCAUAAUGGCUUUAAUCGACCCGUCUUGAAACACGGACCAAGGAGUCUAACAUACCUGCGAGUGUUUGGGUGGAAAACCCGAGCGCGUAAUGAAAGUGAAAAGUUGAGAUCCUUGUUAUGGGGGAGCAUCGACGCCCGGACCUGACCUUUUGUGACGGCUCCGCGGUAGAGCAUGUAUGUUGGGACCCGAAAGAUGGUGAACUAUGCCUGAAUAGGGUGAAGCCAGAGGAAACUCUGGUGGAGGCUCGUAGCGAUUCUGACGUGCAAAUCGAUCGUCGAAUUUGGGUAUAGGGG